GAUCCUCUCAGAUUGAACGCUGGCGGCAGGCCUAACACAUGCAAGUCGAACGGUAACAGGAAACAGCUUGCUGUUUCGCUGACGAGUGGCGGACGGGUGAGUAAUGUCUGGGAAACUGCCUGAUGGAGGGGGAUAACUACUGGAAACGGUAGCUAAUACCGCAUAAUGUCGCAAGACCAAAGAGGGGGGACCUUCGGGCCGUCUUGCCAUCGGAUGUGCCCAGAUGGGAGUUAGCUAGUAGGU
rnacentral:rRNA from 1 species